UAGAACUAAUGCUCUGAGAAGUGGAAUGACGGAGUAACGUCCCGAAACGCUUCCCUUAAUACUCCGACUGGCAGUUUGAAAUGUAAUUAGAGAACUGUCAGACGCUCGGUGAAGUCGAGAGAGAGUUGCCCAAACAGGACAAAUAUGUAGCUGUGGAAAGCUGUUCAGCGAUGAAUGGUGCAACCUAUAUUUCGGAGGUCUAUAAA
rnacentral:ncRNA from 1 species